rnacentral:rRNA from 1 species
AACGAACGCUGGCGGCAGGCCUAACACAUGCAAGUCGAGCGAGAUCUUCGGGUCUAGCGGCGGACGGGUGAGUAACGCGUGGGAAUAUGCCCUUCUCUGCGGAAUAGCCUCGGGAAACUGAGCGUAAUACCGCAUACGCCCUUUGGGGGAAAGAUUUAUCGGAGAAGGAUUAGCCCGCGUUGGAUUAGGUAGUUGGUGGGGUAACGGCCUACCAAGCCGACGAUCCAUAGCUGGUUUGAGAGGAUGAUCAGCCACACUGGGACUGAGACACGGCCCAGACUCCUACGGGAGGCAGCAGUGGGGAAUCUUAGACAAUGGGGGCAACCCUGAUCUAGCCAUGCCGCGUGAGUGAUGAAGGCCUUAGGGUUGUAAAGCUCUUUCAGCUGGAAAGAUAAUGACGGUACCAGCAGAAGAAGCCCCGGCUAACUCCGUG